AAGAGGACAGAAGAGCAGAUGCAGCCUCCAAGAAUGAGCUGCUGAGGACGAGAGGGAUGCAGCCAAUGACCUGAAAGAGCGUGAGCCAACGUCUGUCCAAGCUCUGGUCCUGCUUCGUGCCUGCCCUGUGAUACUGGGCAAGUUGCUCAUCCCUGGACUUCUUUCUCCUCCAUAAAACACGGCUUUGGGAGCAACUUGCUCUCCAAGGGCCAUUCCAACUCUAACAUUAUAAUUUUAUCAUAUGGGAUUUGGCAUAAUUGGUUAUCUCUGAACACUUACACUUUUUUUUUUUUUUUGAGAUGGAUUCUUGCUCUGUUGCCCAGGCUGGAGUGCAGUGGUGCAAUCUCAGCUCACUGCAAGCCCCACCUCCCGGGUUCACGCCAUUCUCCUGCCUCAGCUUCCCGAGUAGCUGGGACUACAGGCGCCCUCCACCAGGCCCAGCUAAUUUUUUUUUGUAUUUUUAGUAGAGACAGGGUUUCACCAUGUUAGCCAGGAUGGUCUUGAUCUCCUGACCUCGUGAUCCGCCCACCUCGGCCUCCCAAAGUGCUGGAACACUUAUACUUUUAAGGUAUUUGUACACAUACACGAAGCAAAACAAGAGGCAGGAGGUGCAAACAGCCCCACGAACAAAUGGUCCAGGGUGUUUAGGAGAAACCCCGCACCUUGAACCUCUCUUCUCACCCAACCUGCUUUCCAGACCUUCCUUCCCUCCUGGCUAAAUGCCCUGUAGAAGCACUAAUGUGUCUAUGUGCCUCUGGAAGCCAGGCUUUCCCUGGAAGCACAGCUGUAGUAGCUGACUACUCAUAAGACCCUAACUAUGCUGAUGUUGAUGGAAAGGGCUGAAUUCUUUGAAGCCUCAUGGUGGAAAUUUAAAGAAAAUAAUGUGAGAGCGUCACAGACAACUGCACAUUCACCACCACAAAUGGUGCCAUCCCAGAGACAAAUAUGUAAUAGUUCAGAACUUGGGAAAAUGGCCCAGGAUCGAGCCAUGCUAAGAAUGGGAGCAAUUUGGCUGAUACAUGGCUGCCCUGUGCUCCAGCAGGGGAAAAAAAAGGUUCUAAUUACCCAGCCGCAAUCCUGUAUUUAGAUGUAAAAGGGAGGAAAUAGCUGAGCUCUGUUCUAGUCACAGAUAUGCCAAACGGGUCAAGAGAAAAGCCUUCUGCCCAGACCACUGCUGAGCCCACGGCUGGCCUGGGCCCAGGCUACUCAGCCGAUGAGCUUCAGAUGGACCUCCAGAAGGCCACAGCGGCCCCACUUUAUCCUCUGCCUAUUUUGCCAGGACAUCAGCCUCAGACAAUUUCCUCCUCAAAGUUUCUUCACUCUCUUUGGUGUUCUGUUUCAUGCAAAUCUGUUGGGGAUGGGAGGAAUUAAGGACAGCGAGAUCAAAUGACAACCCCUGCCUCCUCAGUGAUUAAAAAAAAUCAGAGCUCACCCAUAUGGCAGCGGCAUUUCUGACCUGGUCCAGCAUUCCUCCCUCACCCUGUGCUUUCUGAAACUCUCAUGCAUCUUCCGAAUGUCACCUGCUGCCAUGAGGUCAGCAUGGACGAGGGUCAGCGUGGAUCUCCAGUUCUACUAGGCUGCCAAAGUAGCAGAGACAAGCUUCAAUCCGAAGAUAUUUACGACCUGACAAAUACCCCAUCUCAAGAACUUACAGAAACCUCAGCAUGGACAGCCUGGAGUGAAAGGAUGCUUACUUCCUAGGAAGGGCAUUUCUGCUUGGGAAAUGCUCAGCUGUGCCUCAGUUUCCCUUAGUCUUCCUCUGAGCUGCAGGUAAUUGAGACUGAGAGGCUUUCCACACUUCCCAGAAGGGGCAGACUUGAUGGUGCUUCCUAUCUCCACGCAAGAGCAACUAUUGUGGAUCCUCACCUCCGACAGUGCUGAUGGAAACACCCACAACUGCUCGCAGCGGGUCUGGGCUUUCCUAGUCAAUCAUUUUACUUUCAGGGCGUAGAGGUAGGAGAAUGAAACAGAUUGCACAGCACUGGUGAAAAGAAAAGGAGAAAUUCAGGGAGGAGGAAUGAGGGAUCCUCUUUCUUGUGUGUGGGUGUUAGCUUGCCUCCCAACCACACUGACACUUGCUGUGCCAUUGAUUUGACUUUUCUCCUAUCUUAACAAUAACAAAUCAUUAAAAAAUCAGUUUAUC
rnacentral:lncRNA from 10 species